rnacentral:rRNA from 1 species
CUACGGGGGGCUGCAGUGAGGAAUAUUGGUCAAUGGAGGCAACUCUGAACCAGCCAUGCCGCGUGAAGGAUGACGGCCCUAUGGGUUGUAAACUUCUUUUGAAUAGGAAGAAACUUAUCUACGUGUAGAUAACUGACGGUACUAUUAGAAUAAGGAUCGGCUAACUCCGUGCCAGCAGCCGCGGUGAAUACGGAGGAUCCAAGCGUUAUCCGGAUUCAUUGGGUUUAAAGGGUCCGUAGGCGGGUCUUUAAGUCAGUGGUGAAAGCCGACAGCUCAACUGUCGAACUGCCAUUGAUACUGGAGACCUUGAGUACAAAUGAAGUAGGCGGAAUGAGUCAUGUAGCGGUGAAAUGCAUAGAUAUGACUCAGAACACCGAUUGCGAAGGCAGCUUACUAACAUGUAACUGACGCUGAGGGACGAAAGCGUGGGGAGCGAACAGGAUUAGAUACCCGCGUAGUC